GGACGUGCGCCACCCACCCGACUGAGGCUGCGCAAGCCCCGGGGUCUGGGUGGGGUGGUCCUAGUGCGCGCCGUGCCGCGUCGCCGUGGAGACAAGGGCUGGCCCGGCUCGAGACUGGCGUCUAGAAGCGCGCGAAGCGCUGAGGCUGGCGUGGGUAGCGCGGGAGUUAAGAAGCAGGUGUCGGACCCCCUCUCCCGUCGGGUUUUCUCCCAGCGUCAGGCCCGAUGGCUCGGCUUCCCCAGUUAGAAGGAGAAGAUAAAAUACUUUGAUUCAAGAAGAAUCUGCUCACUGAGAAGUGUAUAUCAAGCCACAAUUUCCAUCAAAAAGUGAUUAAGCAGAGAAUGGAGAAGAAGGUUGAUUCCAGGUAUUUUAGGGAUGGUGCAGUUAAGAAACCUUAUUCUGCAAAGACACUGUCCAACAAGAAGUCUUCUGCAUCCUUUGGGAUCCGGAGGGAGUUACCUAGUACCAGGCACCUAGUGCAGUAUCAUGGCACACGUACUUGUACCCGACAGGGCCGGUUAAGAGAACUUCGCAUCAGAUGCAUGGCCAGAAAGUUCUUAUAUUUAUGGAUUCGAAUGACUUUUGGAAGAAUAUUUCCCUCUAAAGCCAGAUUUUACUAUGAGCAGCGAUUACUACGGAAGGUCUUCGAAGAAUGGAAAGAAGAGUGGUGGGUUUUCCAUCAUGAGUGGAAACUCUGUGUUCGAGCUGACUGUCACUACAGGUAUUACCUGUAUAACCUGAUGUUCCAGACCUGGAAGACCUACGUACGUCAGCAGCAGGAGAUGAGGAACAAGUACAUCAGAGCCGAGGUUCAUGAUGCAAAGCAAAAGAUGCGACAGGCCUGGAAGUCCUGGUUGAUCUACGUGAUUGUUCGUAGGACCAAACUUCAGAUGCAGACUACGGCUCUGGAGUUUAGGCAACGGAGUAUCUUAUGGUUGUGGUGGAGCAUGUGGAGGCAGCAACUAGGACAGGUCCGUGUGAGCCGUACCCUCCAUGCCUCUGCUGUGAAGCACAGGGCCCUGAGUCUCCAGCUGCAGGCUUGGUCACAGUGGCGGGAACAGCUCCUGUAUGUCCAGAAGGAGAAACAGAAGGUUGUCUCUGCGGUGAAACACCAUCGGCACUGGCAAAAACGGAGAUUUCUGAAGGCCUGGCUUGAAUACCUGCAAGUUCGCAGAGUGAAGAGACAGCAGAAUGAGAUGGCUGAGCGAUUCCAUCAUGUCACCGUGCUCCAGAUACACUUCUGUGACUGGCAGCAGGCCUGGGAGCAGAGGCAGAGCUUGUAUGCCUACCAUGCCCAGGUGGAGAAACUGGCCAGGAAGAUGGCCCUGCGGCGCACCUUUACUCACUGGAAACACUACAUGCUGCUGUGUGCAGAAGAAGCUGCCCAGUGUGAGAUGGCAGAAGAGCACCACAGGCACAGCCAGCUGUAUUUUUGCUUUAGAGCCUUAAAAGACAAUGUGACCCACGCCCAUCUCCAGCAAAUAAGAAGGAAUCUCGCUCACCGGCAGCAUGGUGUCACGCUGCUGCACAGGUUCUGGAACCUCUGGCAGUCUCAGAUGGAGGAGAAAAAGGAAAGAGAGCAGCUCCCCUUACUGCGUGCUGCCUGGGACCACUACAGGAUAGCACUGAUGUGCAAGUGUAUCAAAUUGUGGCUGCAGUAUACUCAGAAGAGGCGGUACAAGCAGCUGCUACAGGCCAGAGCGGAUGGUCAUUUCCAGCAGAGAACCCUGCCUGCUGCCUUCCACACGUGGAAGAGACUCUGGCGAUGGCGCCAGCAGGAUAGUGUCCUCAAUGCAAAAGCAACACGUUUCCACAGGGAGACAUUAGAGAAGCAGGUAUUUUCUAUCUGGAGGCAGAAGACAUUUCAGCAUCAAGAAAACUGCCUGGCAGAGAGAAUGGCCAUCCUUCAUGCAGAGCGACAGCUUCUGCAUAGGUCUUGGUUCACGUGGCACCAGCAGGCAGCAGCACGUCACCAGGAGCAGGAGUGGCAAACAGUGGCCUGUGCUCACCACCGCCAUGGGCGGCUCAAGAAAGCUUUCUGCCUCUGGAGGGAAAGUGCCCAAGGGCUCAGAACAGAGAGGACGGGCAGGGUGCGGGCAGCAGAAUUCCACAUGGCCCAGCUGCUGCGCUGGGCCUGGAGCCAGUGGAGGGAGCGCCUGGCCCUGCGGGGAGCAGAGCGGCGGAAGCUGAUGCAAGCAGAUCUGCACCACCAGCAGAGAGUGCGGCACAGGGCGCUGCAGGCGUGGGUGACUUACCAGGGCAGGGUACAGAGCAUCCUCCAGGAGGUGGCAGCCAGGGAGAGCCAGCACAACAGGCAGCUGCUGCGAGGGGCAUUGCAUCGCUGGAAAGAGAACACCAUGGCCCGAGUGGAUGAAGCCAAAAAAACCUUUCAAGCAAGUACUCAUUACAGAAGGACCAUGUGUUCCAAGGUCCUGGUCCAGUGGCGGGAAGCUGUGUCAGUGCAGAUAUAUUACCGACAGCAGGAGGACUCUGCCAUCUGGGAGGCCCGGAAGGUGCUGGACAGGGGCUGUCUGCGGACCUGGUUUCAGCGCUGGCGGGACUGCAGCCGGAGGUCAGCCCAGCAGAGACUGCAGCUGGAGAGGGCAGUCCAACACCACCGCCGGCAGCUGCUGCUGGAGGGGCUGGCCCGGUGGAAGAUGCACCAUCUGGAGUGUGUCAGAAAGAGGCUCCUGCACAGGCAGAGUACCCAACUGCUGGCACAGAGACUCAGCCGGACCUGCUUCCGCCAGUGGAGACAACAGCUGGCAGCCAAGAGGCAGGAGCAGCAGGCGACAGUGCGGGCCCUGUGGUUCUGGGCCUUUUCGCUGCAGGCAAAGGUGUGGGCCACGUGGCUGGCCUUUGUACUGGAAAGGAGGAGGAAGAAGGCACGGCUGCAGCGGGCGCUCCAGGCCUACCAGGGGCAGCUCCUCCAGGAGGGUGCCACACGGCUCCUGCGCUUUGCAGCCAGCAUGAAGGCCUCCCGGCAGCAGCUGCAGGCCCAGCAGCAGGUCCAGGCGGCUCACAGUCUCCAUCGUGCCGUCCGCCGCUGUGCCACGCUCUGGAAACAGAAAGUGCUGGGCCGGAGCGGGAAGCCUCAGCCCCUGGCAGCCGUCACACCCAGCAGGAAAGUGACAUUGGAGGGUCCCCUUCUCAUCUGCAUUGCCGCUGGGGCUGGGGAUGCCGCCCUGGGAACCAAGAGGCCACAGGCUCCUCUGCUUCAGGGAGCUCUGGGCCGCCUGGCUGCUGAGGAGCCCCACGCCCUGGAACUCAACACUGCCCACUCAGCAAGGAAGCAGCCGCGACGCCCACACUUCCUGCUGGAGCCUGCGCAGAGCCAGAGGUCCCUGGGGUGUGGCACCAUGGGCAGGCCUCAGAAGCCCAAGGAACAUGGCCUAGGCAUGGCUCAGCCAGCAGGCCCCUCCCUGACGCGGCCCUUCCUGGCAGAGGUCCCGAAAGCACAAGUCCCACACAGCCCCCUGCCUGGGGCCCUGUCAAGCACCCCUGGCCCAAAGCAGACCCCGACGGCAAGCACAGGCCCGGAGCUGCUGCUGCUGCCUCCUUCCUCCUCCAUGCCCUGCAGGGCGGCUGCACCAGCCAGGGCGUCAACACAGCCGGCUACUGCUAGGGAUAAGCCCCAGGUCCCCCCAUCCCUGGCCAGUGUCCCUGACCCCCAUCUACUCCUUCCUGGGGACUUCUCAGCCACCAGGGCUGGGCCUGGGCUUUCAACUGCAGGCAGCCUGGACCUUGAGGCUGAACUUGAGGGGAUCCAGCAGCAACUACUGCACUACCAGACCACCAAGCAGAACCUCUGCCUGGGCGACAGAGUGACACUCCAUCUCACAUACACAAAAAAAAGUGCAGAGGAGACAGGCCUGAGACCCACUGCACUCAGUGGUCUGGGGACCAUCAUCAUGCAGCAGCUUCAGAGCUUCGAGAGCAACAGACUCUGGCGCCUCAUCCUUGCCUCUGCACAGGGGAAGAGAGACAAGAAGUCCUGCCAGCGGCAAGCGAGCAGCCUGCGCAGGUGGCUGGAGCUGAGCAGAGAGGAGCCCAGACCUGAGGACCAGGAAGUAGAGCAGCAGGUGCAGAAAGAGCUGCAAGAGCCAGCGGUGCAAGAAGGAAGGGAAGCCUCAGCUGGCUGGCAGGUGGAGCAGCCCAUUCUCAGGACAGCUGCUCAGCAGAGCUACGCCUGACCAGAGAUGUGGCCUCCCUAGAAUUCAGUCCCAGCCCAUCGGCCGCACAGCAGACAAGGAAGUGAGGAGGACACCCUGAGCACCAACAUCAGGGAUUUUCAGAUGCAGGUCUGCGAUGUCGCUGUCACCUGGGCCUGAGCUGCAGACACAGGGUCCGCAGCCCCCACAGGUCCAGCCAGCACUCUGAGGGCCUGGAUGCAGCAGUCUGAGAAGCCCAGCCCUGCUGAGCCCCACCUCGGCCCCACAGCAGGACUUGUGUUCAACAUUCUACUGUGACUGCGUCAGGUCAUAAAGCUGUCUACACCUGGGGUUCCUCCCAGGAGGCAAAGGGAGGUCGUCCCCUCAGGCCCCUCUGUUCUCUCUUCCUUCAGGGAAGCCUGGAGCACCUGAAGACAGAUGAUGGCCUGGGGACAGGCACUGGGUCCCACUAGUUGGUCCCAGAGCCCUCCGGCAGGGCCAGGUACCCAGGAAGUGGCAGCCUGUUAAACUCCAGGUGCUGCUGCCACUGUAGAAACUGCCUCUAAUUGGUGGCUGCAGAUUCUCUAAACACAACCAAGACACCAACUCCCCAAGGUGUAAAAGUGAUUUCAUUCCAACUUUCAACACCUCUGCAUGGUAAGGAAUUAGCAGCUCCCAGAGAGCUGCUCUUAUCCCUCCCAGCUGAUGCCCAGUCACACAGAAGGGCUAUGUGAACCCAGGCCCUUCCCAAGCACAGGUGGGAGCCUGGGCUAAUGUCCAGGGUACCUCAGUGCCCCUGAGCUCUGAUGACACCAACCUGACAAAGGCCCAGGAACAGGGUUUCCUCCUUGGGGUCAACCUGCCUGGGAAGCCAAGGGCAAGAGCGAGCCCUCUAGGGGCCAGGAGGGGCCAAGCCAGUUCCCUUG